rnacentral:rRNA from 1 species
GUGGUGGCACAAAAUCGGAAGCCCCGACUGUUUACUAAAAACACAGCUAUCUGCAACGAUGUAAAUCAUAGUAUAGGUAGUGAGGUUUGCCCGAUGCCAUUAAUAUAAGAGAAGUGAUGGGUAACUGUUAAUUAUCGAAAAUCUGGUUAAUAGCGGUCUUAACUAUGAGGAUCCUAAGGUAGCAAAAUAAAUUGGCCAUUAAAUGUGGUCCGGUAUCAAUAAUUUAACGAUGGCUUCACUGUCUCUACAACUUGCUCAGUGAAAUUGAAUUACCCGUGCAGAUG